GCACAAUACUAAUUACUUGUGUCCUGUGAGUGAGGGCUAGAAAAUUAUUGCAUCAUACAAAGAAUAAGCAAACCUUAUGUCUAGAUCAUGUGAUGAAAAACUUGCCUGAAUACUCACAAAGAAGCACACAGAGAAAAUGAGUGGUGGGGAAAAUCCACGUAAAAGUCUGUCUCAGUUCCUCCUAGACCCAUCCCAGGAGCCCACAGACCAUCAAAGGCCCAUCUUAACAAGGACAGAGGAGCAAAGAGCCCAGAGGCAGGUAUUCCUUUGUGAACUCCAUCUCUCUUCUCCAUAUAGAGAAGACAGCCUUAGAGAGUGGGACUUGUUAAGCCUGAAGAAAGCUUAAGGAAGACCUUAUGGCAGCCUUCCAGUACCUAAAAAGGACCUACAAGAAAGCUGAAAACGGACAUUUUACAAGGCUAUGCUAAGACAA